CAGAACAAGGGAAGGUUACAGUUUCAGGAAAUGUGGACCCAAACAUUCUCAUCAAGAAGCUUGCAAAAUCAGGGAAACACGCAGAGCUAUGGAGUGUACCUAAACCAAACAACAAUAAUCAGAAUAAUAAUAACAACAACAACCUUGUUAAUCAGCUGAAGAACAUGCAAAUUGAGAAACCAAAAGGUGGUGGUGGAGGUGGAGGAGGAGGAGGAGGAAACAACAACAAAGGACAGAAUCAAAAUCAGCAGAACCAGAAGGGUGGUGGUGGUGGAAACAAUAACCAACCCAAAGGUGGUGUUCCACAAGGACUAAACCCACAGCAGCAACAGCAACUCCAACUUCAGCAACAGCUACAACAACUUCAACAGAUGAAAGGGUUUCAAGAUCUACCUCAAUUUAAGGGAAUGAAGAUGCCACCUAAUCAGAACCCAAACCAGCAAAUGCCUAAAGCUGUUAAAUUUGAUGUGCCUGAAGAUGAUGACGAUGAUUUUACUGACGAUGAAUUAGAUGAUGAUUAUGACGAAGAUGAUGAAGAUUUCGAUGACGAUGAUGAGUUUGAUGAUGAAAUGGCUGAUUUACCACCUAAUAAGAUGAAACCCUCUAUGCCUAUGGGAAAUGGUGCUCACAUGAUGUUGAAUGGGAAUCAUCCACAGUUUAUGAAUGCCAUGAAGGGUGCCAAUUUUAAUGGCGGUGGUGGUGGUGGUGGAAACGGGAAGAAACCUGGUGGUGGUGGUGGUGGACCUGUGCCGGUUCAAAUUCAGGGUAUGGUUGGUGGUAAUGGAAAUGGAGGAAAGAAAGAAGGCGGCGGCGGUGGAGGUAACAAAAAUAAUGGUGGUAUNNNNNNNNNNNNNNNNNNNNNNNNNNNNNNNNNNNNNNNNNNNNNNNNNNNNNNNNNNNNNNNNNNNNNNNNNNNNNNNNNNNNNNNNNNNNNNNNNNNNNNNNNNNNNNNNNNNNNNNNNNNNNNNNNNNNNNNNNNNNGCUUACCGGCAGGAGGCGGUGGAUACUUUCAAGGUGGUGGUGGUGGUGGUAUGGGUCCAGAAAUGAUGCCAGGAAAUCCUUACCAACAACAACAACAGCAACAUCAGCAGCAGCAACAACAACAGUUAAUGGCUGCUGCAAUGAACCAACAACGGGCUGCGAUGGCGGGAGGAAAUGAUCAGAGAUUUCAGCAACCAAUGAUGUAUGCAAGGCCACCUCCAGCAGUGAAUUACAUGUAUCCUCCUCCUUACGCUUAUCCUCCUCCUCCAGAUCCUUACACACACUAUUUCAGUGAUGAAAAUACUUCCAGCUGCAAUAUCAUGUGAUGAUCUAAUUCAUCUCAACCAAGUGAAGGUUCAAACUAUAGUAUUUACCCUACUCUAAUUUUAUUAUGCAAUCAAUACCAAUGGAACAUGAGUUUUUUAUUUUCAUUUUUCUUUGCUUUGAUCCCCUUUUCAACUUAGGGGUUUCUAAUUACCUGUAGUUUAUAGAUAUCUUAUAAUAAUAUUACUAUUAUUAUUAUGUUCUUUGAGAGUAAGUAGUAAGUACUUCCUAUUUUAUUUUUUUUAUAUAUUAUAUGUGUUUAUAUUUUGGAAAUAGUAAUAAAAAUAUUUCAGAAAAAAAGUUAGCAAUAUUCUUGUUAUUGAGAAUGGAAUGAACAAAAUUCCCAAUUCUGUUUGCUCAUUUGAUAAACUCAUCCAAUUGUCUAUUUACUAAACAAUCAAUCACAUUGUUUGUGUUUGGGUGUCUAGUAUUAAAUUAUUGGCUUAUCUUAUUGUGUUAUGGCAUCUUACUAUAUCUUAUCUGUAUACAUUAUUUUGUGUCUCCCUUUGUUAUUUUGGGUUUGGACCCACCCAGUUGGAAUCUCUCUAUUUCUCAUAACAAAUGAAGUUGAUUUUAAUUUGGAUCUACUAUCCCAAAUCCAACCCAAACAGUGGUUUUCAAUCACAAUCUAGUAUUAAUCAGUGGUAUUUAUAUGUCGUUUUCUAAUUUUAAGGUUAUUAUGGCAUAUGCAUCUUCAUAACUAUCCUAUAAUUGUGUGGUUGACAUUGUAAUUGAUCAUAAUGUGUAGAAUUGAUGUUUCAUCCGAAGAAUUAUUGAUGUACAGUUAAUAUAUAUAGCAAUAUGUGUGUAGAAUAGAAUUGAAUUGUUGAUGAUAAUGGUGCGGAUAUGAUAUUAGCUGCAUAGUAACAGUUCACUCACUGUUGAACCAGCUGAGGCUCAACUAAAUGUAAUACUUACGUAACUGAACCAAAUCUUUAGCUGUACACCCAAAUCACCUGGGUUGGUUCUUUUUUUUUUUCUUAAAUGUUUUCAAGCUUUUUAGUGUAGUAUAUUUAGUUAUUGGGUCAUAAGUCUUCUAAAGUCAAAGGAGUUGUUUCUAUAAUUUGGUGUAUUAGUCCAACAAUCAAUAAAAAUAAGCCACAUACACCAAACUUUUAUUUAACAUGCAAUAUUUUUUGGCAGAUGCGUCAUGCCCCUAAAUUAUCGAGGGAUAAAUUAAAAAAAAAAACAAAGAGAAAAUAUUGAGCAUAAAUACAGAAGAUGAUCUAAUUUAAUUUUUUUUAUUCCACAAAAAUUUAGGUAUAGAUCUCAAAUAAUGUUGAUAAUGAGAUACUUUUUUUAUCAUCCACAACAGUGGUUUCAUGUUUUUGUGAGAGUUGAACUCAUAUGAAAUACAGUGUAUGAUCUAUUCUUUCCUAUAUAUUCAUUACAUAAUUAAUAUAUUUUUGUCUAUCAUAUAAUCAAAUACAUUAACUAUACAAUAAAUUAAAAAAAAAAUUACUUAGGGAAUGAGUAUUUCUUAGUACCUAUGGCUAUGCUAUUUUUUUUUUCAAUAUUAGUAAUUUUAUUAUUAAGUGAUUUCAACUCUCUUUUGAUCGCAAUUGCUGGUGAUCGAACUGUAAUACUUCUUACCUAUUUUAGCGUCAAUUAACACUAAACCAACGAUAUAACUAUGCUAUUUUUGUUUAUGAUUUGUUGAGGCACGCAAAGUAAUGUGGUAGUAAUUAAUUAAAGAAGGAAAAUGUUAAACAGAGCCCCCGGGACACUAGUUAAAUAUACAAAUAUAGAAGUUUUAUCUCGUAAAUUGUGCAUUCAAUGUUUUAAUUAUGUAAAAAGUUAUUCUCUCUCAUCAUUAACUUUAUUAUUUAUUUCAUUUUUUAGUAUGCUUAACUAGUUCCCCAGACGCACUAUUUAGCAUGACCCAUUAAAAGAAUGGUAUGCAUAAGUUUUGGAUUUUUAUAAUUAAAUAAUUGUACUAGUCUUUGUUUCAAUUUGAGGAAAUCAUGGAUGUGUGCGUGGUGGGGUGCACACCGAUGAAGUUGCGCAUGGACCCCAGCUAUAUAUAUCAAUCGGCCUAAUUAAUUAAUAUGCUCUUGUGACUAGUGGGGUUUAAUGGUGGGUCAUAUACAUCAUCACCGUCACUACAAUUGUGAUAAACACCAAAUUCUUCUGUCAGGAGUGAAUUUAUUUUACACAGUACUAGUACUAGUACUAAUCUUACAUCUUAUUUAAUAAUUAUGGUUACUGUUCCCACUAAGUAACUUAACUUUACAUCUAAAUUUCAACCUCUUGAAUAAAUCAUAGUACAAAUUGGAUAUAGUAGUUAGGUGGUGUAGUGUAGAAUAUUUAGGAUAUUCACAUGGGUUGACUGUUGAAUCUGAUAUGAUAUCAUCAUUCCUUGAGUGAGUACAUCAUAAUUCUUCACUAUGAUUCUUAUAUAAAGCUUUUAUUUAGAUAUUAUAUCUUUUUUGUCAUAUGAAUUAUAAGUUUAAAAUUCGAUCUUACCGAACAGAUUCAUGAUAUAAAUUAGUAUUUACUAUAAAUUUAUCUGCUAUAAAUUAAAUUAUCAAUUAUCCAUCAUUUUUUACCAAAUAGGCAUAUAUACAUGAAAUCUAAAUCUAUUAAGUAAGAAUAUACUUGGAUGAUCUAUGAUAUAAAUUUUCAAUAUAACAGUGAAUUCGGUAUUCGUUAUAAGUGGUGCAUCGUGGUGCACCGUGCACACCACUUGAUCAGCUCUUUCAUGUUAGCCUUCACCUAUGUUUUGUGUAUAUAUAUGGUUCGUAGGAAGAGGGGACGACCUGUCGAAUUCACAUCAGAAAUUGCCAGAACACAAAUGAAAUCUUGAAUUGCAUAUAGAAACAAAACGAACCAUUUAUGUCUCGGAGCUGAGGUAUAUGAAGAAUGGCUUUUUGGUCUCUUUCGUCCAAUGGUUAGGACAUCAAGUCUAUGGUCAAAUAUUUCAUCAAGUUUUCUACGCUACAUAAGUCACGAAUAUUAUUAUAACGAAUACGAAUUUUAUAAAAUUCAUCGUCGAAUUAAAACUUAAUAUCAUAUAGACCAUUCAUAAUUUUUCUUUUAAAAAAAUCAAAAAUCAUUUGAUAUGUUAUUGAGAUUUAUCAAAAUUAACGGUUGAUGAAUUUUUAUUGAAUACCGUUAAUCUGAAUCGUCCAAUCUAUCAAUACUUUCGAGAACUAAUUUGACAACGCGUCAUACUUAAUAAUUUUGAUAUUUUUAAGAGUUUAAUUGAUAUGCACUCACAGUGUAAAAUAGUUUUACACAAUCGUCCAAUAAAUCAUCAUUAUUUUAUCAUAUCGUAUCAAGAAAGUGAGGUAAAGUAGGGUAAUGUGGCGGAAACAUGAUUGAUAUUGGUUGACGGUGUAAACAAUUAAAUCCUAUUUUUAAAGCUGAGUUAAGAUCUGUGAAUGUGUGUGUGAAUAAUUGCAAAAUCCAGUACUUCAAUAAAUAAUUGCACCAAAACAAAGAUGAACUCUUGGAACACCGUUACUUUGCUUACCCCCAUUUUUCUCAACAAUGACUACUACAGUACUACUCAUCAUUCUCUCUGAACCUUUCUAGUUUUGUUUCAUGUCUCUGCUUUGAGACUUUAGAACCAUUUCUUCUACUUGUAAUUUCAUUCUAAAAAAGUAAAAAAUAAAAAAAGUCUACCAAACAAGAAACUACAUUUUUUUCCCCCUCAUUUCUUCUCUGUUUUCUCAGAUCUAAAAUCUCAGUUGCCCAGAUCUUUGUUUAUCACAAGUUACAUACUUUCCUUGUGUUAGUUGGUGGUUGUGUAUAAAAAAUGAGUAAAGAAGAAUUUUUGAAGAUACAGGUACUCCCAUCACAUUCUCAAUGUCUGUUUACUUUUGUGUUUUAUUUUGUUUUGUUUUGUUUUGUUUUAUCUCAUUUGAUUUUUAUUUUGCUUUUGUAUUCAGAAAUCUGUUCUUAAAGUAAACAUACACUGUGAUGGAUGCAAACAAAAAGUAAAGAAAAUCUUGCAGAAAAUUGAUGGUAUGCAAUGCAGCACUAUUAUGAUUUAUUUAUUUUUAUAUAGUUUCAAUUAUUAUUAUCCUAAGUAAAACAAAACAAAACCUUAAUUUUACCGACCUAGAAUUGAAUAUGUUGUUUUUGUUGAUUAAUGAAUGGCAGGGGUGUUUACAAUUGAGAUAGAUGCAGAACAAGGGAAGGUUACAGUUUCAGGAAAUGUGGACCCAAACAUUCUCAUCAAGAAGCUUGCAAAAUCAGGGAAACAUGCUGAGUUAUGGACUGUACCUAAACCAAACAACAACAACAAUAAUAAUAAUAAUAAUAAUAAUAAUAAUAAUAAUAAUAAUAAUAAUAAUAACAAUCAGAACAACCUUGUUAACCAGUUGAAGAACAUGCAGCAAAUUGACAAGGGAAAAACUAGUGGAGGAAACAACAACAACAAAGGACAGAAUCAAAAUCAGCAGAACCAGAAGGGUGGUGGUGGUGGUGGUGGAAACAAUAACCAACCCAAAGGUGGUGUUCCACAAGGACUAAAUCCACAGCAGCAACAGCAACUCCAACUUCAGCAACAGCUACAACAACUCCAACAGAUGAAAGGGUUUCAAGAUCUACCUCAAUUCAAGGGAAUGAAGAUGCCACCUAAUCAGAACCCAAACCAGCAAAUGCCUAAAGCUGUUAAAUUUGAUGUGCCUGAAGAUGACGAGGGUGAGUUUAGUGACGAUGAAUUAGAUGAUUAUGACGACGAAGAUGAUGAUGAAGAUUUUGAUGAUGAGUUUGAUGAUGAAAUGGUUGGUUUACCACCUAAUAAGAUGAAACCGUCUAUGCCUAUGGGGAAUGGUGCUCACAUGAUGUUGAAUGGGAAUCAUCAACAGCUUAUGAAUGCCAUGAAGGGUGCCAAU
rnacentral:lncRNA from 1 species